UGGGGAAUAUUGCACAAUGGAGGGAACUCUGAUGCAGCGACGCCGCGUGAACGAAGAAGGCUUUCGCGUCGUAAAGUUCUUUUAUAUGGGAAGAUAAUGACGGUACCAUAAGAAAAAGCCCCGGCUAACUACGUGCCAGCAGCCGCGGUAAUACGUAGGGGGCUAGCGUUGUCCGGAAUCACUGGGCGUAAAGGGUUCGCAGGCGGAAAUGCAAGUCAGGUGUAAAAGGCAGUAGCUUAACUACUGUAAGCAUUUGAAACUGCAUAUCUUGAGAAGAGUAGAGGUAAGUGGAAUUUUUCGGGUAGCGGUGAAAUGCGUAGAUAUUAAAGAGGAUACCGGUGGCGAAGGCGGGUUACUGGGCUCAUUCUGACGCUGAGGAACGAAAGCGUGGGUAGCAAACAGG
rnacentral:rRNA from 1 species